rnacentral:rRNA from 1 species
CCCGCUGAACUUAAGCAUAUCAAUAAGCGGAGGAAAAGAAACCAACAGGGAUUGCCCCAGUAACGGCGAGUGAAGCGGCAACAGCUCAAAUUUGAAAUCUGGCCCCUAGGGUCCGAGUUGUAAUUUGUAGAGGAUGCUUUUGGUGAGGUGCCGCCCGAGUUCCCUGGAACGGGACGCCGCAGAGGGUGAGAGCCCCGUCUGGCUGGCCACCGAGCCUCUGUAAAGCUCCUUCGACGAGUCGAGUAGUUUGGGAAUGCUGCUCAAAAUGGGAGGUAUAUGUCUUCUAAAGCUAAAUAUUGGCCAGAGACCGAUAGCGCACAAGUAGAGUGAUCGAAAGAUGAAAAGCACCUUGAAAAGAGGGUUAAACAGUACGUGAAAUUGUUGAAAGGGAAGCGCUUGUGACCAGACUUGGGCGCGGCGAAUCAUCCGGGGUUCUCUCCGGUACACUUCGCCGUGUUCAGGCCAGCAUCAGUUCGGCGCGGGGGAAAAAGGCUUCGGGAACGUGGCUGCUCCGGCAGUGUUAUAGCCCGUUGCAUAAUACCCUGCGCUGGACUGAGGACCGCGCAUCUGCAAGGAUGCUGGCGUAAUGGUCACCAGCGACCCGUCUUGAAACACGG